UGGGGAAUAUUGGUCAAUGGGCGGAAGCCUGAACCAGCCAUGCCGCGUGAAGGAAGAAGGUCCUAUGGAUUUUAAACUUCUUUUGUCGGAGAGCAAUAAGGGUCUCGCGAGAUCCGAUGAGAGUAUCCGACGAAUAAGCAUCGGCUAACUCCGUGCCAGCAGCCGCGGUAAUACGGAAGGUCCGGGCGUUAUCCGGAUUUAUUGGGUUUAAAGGGAGCGUAGGCCGGAGAUUAAGCGUGUUGUGAAAUGUAGUGGCUCAACCUCUGCACUGCAGCGCGAACUGGUCUUCUUGAGUACGCACAACGUGGGCGGAAUUCGUGGUGUAGCGGUGAAAUGCUUAGAUAUCACGAAGAACUCCGAUUGCGAAGGCAGCUCACGGGAGCGCAACUGACGCUGAAGCUCGAAAGUGCGGGUAUCGAACAGGAUUAGAUACCCUGGUAGU
rnacentral:rRNA from 1 species